rnacentral:rRNA from 1 species
UACGUAGGGGGCGAGCGUUGUCCGGAUUCAUUGGGCGUAAAGCGCGCGUAGGCGGCUCGACAAGUCGGCCGUGAAAUCUCCAGGCUCAACUUGGAGGGGUCGGGUGAGACUGUCGGGCUCGAGGUGGGCAGAGGGCAGUGGAAUUCCGGGUGUAGUGGUGGAAUGCGUAGAGAUCCGGAGGAACACCAGUGGCGAAGGCGGCUGCCUGGGCCUGGCCUGACGCUGAGGCGCGAAAGCGUGGGGAGCGAUCCGG